ACGUUCCUACGGGACGCAGCAGUGGGGAAUAUUGCACAAUGGGGGGAACCCUGAUGCAGCGACGCCGCGUGAGUGAAGAAGUAUUUCGGUAUGUAAAGCUCUAUCAGCAGGGAAGAAAAUGACGGUACCUGACUAAGAAGCCCCGGCUAACUACGUGCCAGCGGCCGCGGUAAUACGUAGGGGGCAAGCGUUAUCCGGAUUUACUGGGUGUAAAGGGAGCGCAGACGGCUGUGCAAGUCUGGAGUGAAAGGCGGGGGCCCACACCCCUGACUGCUCU
rnacentral:rRNA from 1 species